rnacentral:rRNA from 1 species
UGGGGAAUCUUGCGCAAUGGGGGAAACCCUGACGCAGCGACGCCGCGUGGGCGAUGAAGGCCUUCGGGUCGUAAAGCCCUGUCGAGCGGGACGAAACGUGCGAGCUCUAACAUAGCUCGUGCCUGACGGUACCGCUAAAGGAAGCCCCGGCUAACUCCGUGCCAGCAGCCGCGGUAAUACGGAGGGGGCUAGCGUUAUUCGGAAUUAUUGGGCGUAAAGGGCGUGUAGGCGGCUUCGUGUGUCCCAUGUGAAAGCCCUCGGCUCAACCGGGGAACUGCAUGGGAAACUGCGGAGCUUGAGUCCGGGAGAGGAGAGUGGAAUUCCCAGUGUAGCGGUGAAAUGCGUAGAUAUUGGGAGGAACACCGGUGGCGAAGGCGGCUCUCUGGACCGGUACUGACGCUGAGACGCGAAAGCCAGGGGAGCGAACAG